rnacentral:rRNA from 1 species
UACGUAGGGGGCAAGCGUUGUCCGGAUUUAUUGGGCGUAAAGAGCUCGUAGGCGGCUCAGUAAGUCGGGUGUGAAACCUCCAGGCUCAACCUGGAGACGCCACUCGAUACUGCUGUGGCUUGAGUCCGGUAGGGGAGCACGGAAUUCCUGGUGUAGCGGUGAAAUGCGCAGAUAUCAGGAGGAACACCAGUGGCGAAGGCGGUGCUCUGGGCCGGAACUGACGCUGAGACGCGAAAGCGUGGGGAGCAAACAGG